UGGAUUAUGUGGUAUAAUAGUGCAUAUUGGGGUACUACACUCUUUUUAUUAAUUAUUUGGAUUUGGUCACCAUAUUUACUAUCAGAUAUAGAAUACUUCUGGCCACCGAAACAAACUCAAUUUGCUAUAUCGUCGGUUUUAUGGCGUUGCUACAUUGGUUUAUUCCACCAGUUGGACGACUUCACUCAUUGCUAUUAUCCAUAUAUAGAUAUCGAUGAUCACACACUUUCCGUAUCGACUUACUGGUUAGAGUUGCCAAAUGUACUAAAAACAUUUUCAUAAAUUUAAAUAGAAUAAAUGUCUUGCGGUACCGUAAUUGAAUAAUUACAUACGUAAAAUGGGAAUGGUUACAGUUUUCCAGUCUCGAUAAUUGAAUUGUGCAUUGAUUGAGGUAGUGUAAAGCGGGAUUUGUCUGUACAAUAAUAUCAAUAAUAAAUAAAUAGCAAAUAUUUUAUUUAUUUUGAUCAUAAUUAUAGCCUGAAAGUAUUAUGUUUAUUAAUUAAUCUC
rnacentral:lncRNA from 1 species